rnacentral:lncRNA from 1 species
UUCCAGUUUGGGCUAUUUUAAGGUAUUUUUGUCUGAACAUGAUAAAUUUCUUUUUCAUAUGAUUUAUAACAUGUCAUUUCAGGAUACUGAAGUCUUCCAGACAACAUUAAUCUAUCGAUGACUCUGAGGUGAAGAUGUGAUUGAUGCAGUUACAGACAUUGGUGUCAUAGGUAAUAAACCUAAGUCUGGAAGGACCACAACAAACAUCUCACCUGAGUCUUUCAUUAAUGUGCCAAACUGUCUGACCUAAGAUCUUCUGAAAAAAUGAAGAAAAUCCAAUGAAUGGAAAAUUGGGGUUACUGUGUAUGCAAAGUGAAAUAAUAGUUAUUUGAGUAUUGAAUCUUCCAAAAGGAAAAUUUGAAAAUGAUUAAGUGCAUUCAGACAAGAAACUAUAAUGCUGGGAGAGGUGAAAAGGGGAA